ensembl:lncRNA
GCACCCUCGCAGCCCAGAAUGUGUUUUCGCUUUCGGCCCCGACCGCGGAGAGGACGGCGGGAGGUGUAGUUUGGGCAGCGGCAGGAAGUCGGCCUGCGGCGGGCGGGGACGCGCUGCCGGCCUACCCGGCGGGGGGAGGCGCCCGGGAGGCGCGCGGACUACAAGUCCCUACAGCGCGGCCGCCGCCGCCGCCCGGAGCCGGCUUCACGCUUCCCGGGCACCGCGCGUCCUCCAGCAGGCCGAGGGUCUGCGCGGAGACCUGCGCGCGCCGCCCCGCCCGGCCGGCCGCCCGCCCUCUGCGCCGCGGGCCUGCGGGAUGUGCGCGCGCUCUGCGUGCGUGGAGUUGCCAGGGACACGGAGGCCGCUGGGUCGGCCCUUUGUGUAUUUCCAAACAGAGGGCGCACCUGUCUGCUCCCCUCCCCCCGGCCUCUUCCCCUGACGUUUCCAUGGAGGUGGCUUUAACGGCUUAAGCAGAAAAUAGACCUAAUUGGCGAAGGCUCCUGGAACUCGCAUCGUGCGGGGCGAUACAGGCUGUCCAUAAAUCAGCCGUGGACUGCUGAUUCCUAUUCGAGACUAGAAGUACAGCUCUGGCGAAAACCAUCUUGUAAUUAAUUGUUGGAUAGCGUGCUGGACGUGCCCUGGGAUCCAGCGGUGUUUGCUGGAGGAUUCCUGUUCAGCUUCCCACCCUGAGAAGUUGAAUGAGAGUGUAUGCCUUUAGAACCUAGAAUUUAUCCGGCUUGUUUUUGUGACACCAGAAUUUUAUUUUUAUUCAAGUACAACAGCAUCUGGUGAAGCCUCCUGCCCUCGACAGUCUUCCCUGCUUUUCUUCUGCUCAUUUGAAAACAUGGUUGAAACAAAGCCAACACUAACUACAAAGACAACACUCUUAAGAGAACAGAUGAAGAAGCUGAAAGAAAACAGAGUCCUUCAAUGCUUCAAGGCCGGAAGGCGUGGACUGUUUUAUGAGAGAAAAAUGAACUUACUUAACCAAGCAUUUUUUGUUGUUGUUCUUGUUACAACUUGUCUAUGUAUCCUGGCAUGUUUUUCUUUCAAUAUUAAAUAAUGGUGAG